rnacentral:rRNA from 1 species
UACGUAGGGUGCAAGCGUUGUCCGGAAUUAUUGGGCGUAAAGAGCUCGUAGGCGGUUUGUUGCGUCGGCUGUGAAAUCCCGAGGCUCAACCUCGGGUCUGCAGUCGAUACGAGCAAACUAGAGUGUUGCAGGGGAGACUGGAAUUCCUGGUGUAGCGGUGAAAUGCGCAGAUAUCAGGAGGAACACCGGUGGGCGAAGGCGGGUCUCUGGG